GAGAAGGCUACUAGCAGAGCAUUGCAUCUGUGGAGGGAUGGUGCCAAGUUGCAUCUCAGAACUGUACUGCCUCCAACAUUUUGCUCACGGGUUACUGACUGGAAAGUUGCUUUGCUGUCACACCUGCUGCCACUGGAGCAGGGAGGAUAGAAGAAUAAAGACCCGAAGCGUGUUUGGGGCCAGCAAGAAAUCUCAGAUGGUAAAGGCUUUGCUGCCAAGCUUCAUGAUCAAGUUCAGCCCACAGGACUCUUACAGUGAAAGGAGAGAAUUGACUGGGGCAGUUUGUCUUCUGACCUCCACAUGUACACCAUGGUAUGAAAGCACAUGUGUACAAACAUGCACAUAAGCUAUAUGUGUGUAUGUGACUUUUUUAAGUUCGUCUCUUUAUCCAUCUCCAGAACAAGCUUAAACAUUAAAACCACAUGUGGCAUUUUGUGUGAGAGAA
rnacentral:lncRNA from 1 species